UACGUAGGGUGCAAGCGUUGUCCGGAAUUAUUGGGCGUAAAGAGCUCGUAGGCGGUCCAGCAAGUCGGGUGUGAAAGCCCUCGGCUUAACCGAGGAAGUGCAUUCGAAACUACUGGACUUGAGUACUGAAGAGGAUCGCGGAAUUCCCGGUGUAGAGGUGAAAUUCGUAGAUAUCGGGAGGAACACCAGUGGCGAAGGCGGCGAUCUGGGCAGAUACUGACGCUGAGACGCGAAAGCGUGGGGAGCAAACAGG
rnacentral:rRNA from 1 species